GAUGAACGCUGGCGGCGUGCCUAAUACAUGCAAGUCGAGCGAAUGAAUUAAGAGCUUGCUCUUAUGAAGUUAGCGGCGGACGGGUGAGUAACACGUGGGUAACCUGCCCAUAAGACUGGGAUAACUCCGGGAAACCGGGGCUAAUACCGGAUAAUAUUUUGAACUGCAUGGUUCAAAAUUGAAAGGCGGCUUCGGCUGUCACUUAUGGAUGGACCCGCGUCGCAUUAGCCAGUUGGUGAGGUAACGGCUCACCAAGGCAACGAUGCGUAGCCGACCUGAGAGGGUGAUCGGCCACACUGGGACUGGGACACGGCCCAGACUCCUACGGGAGGCAGCAGUAGGGAAUCUUCCGCAAUGGACGAAAGUCUGACGGAGCAACGCCGCGUGAGUGAUGAAGGCUUUCGGGUCGUAAAACUCUGUUGUUAGGGAAGAACAAGUGCUAGUUGAAUAAGCUGGCACCUUGACGGUACCUAACCAGAAAGCCACGGCUAACUACGUGCCAGCCGCCGCCGUAA
rnacentral:rRNA from 1 species